rnacentral:misc_RNA from 1 species
GCCUCAACCAAAAACGGGAAACAAGAGAGAAAGGAAACGUUCGCGCCAAAAUCAUUAUCGACGAAUCGAUCAAAAUUUAAAUAAAUUUCUCGAAGACUUACCCUCAUAUGCGGCUGGACGAGAAGUUCAUGGAGUUCCCGAAGAUCCGCCCUAUCGAUGUUUCGUAUCGCUGAAUGCUCUAUUUCUCGAAGUAGUUCCUCGACUUCUCGCGCACGCUGAACUGCAUCUGUUUGUGGCGCUCGGCAUGGCGUUGGAACUCUGGUCGAGAUUCUAUCGUAAAGCUAAAGAACAAUAACCAUAUUAAUCAUUCUAUUUAACUUUCCAAA